AAGAAGCAAUUCCCUCUUUCAAAUUUACAGCAAUGGUUAUGUAUCAAGACACGUAACGUAGGACUUCUAUAGACUUUUGGAAAAAUGUAAUGGAAACUUUGGUAUAAAUGUAAUGAAAACUAUUGUAUUCAUUUUGGUUAAAAAGUCUUGGUUGUCUUGCUAAAUUAUGGUUCAUAGUGAUUGAAAUGGCCUUGUGAUAUAUGUAGUCAUGGUGUAAAUGCUUGUGAAUGUAUGUAUGAAACUUGAAC
rnacentral:lncRNA from 1 species